rnacentral:lncRNA from 1 species
CCAGGCCAGGCCACGGAGGGCAGGCCAGAGCAGGGCAGGCCAGGUGAGACGAGGAGAGACCAGGCCAGGGCAGAGCAGGCUAGGCAAGGCGAGGCAAGGCAAGGCCAGGCCACGCAAGGUCAGGCCAGUACACGAAUGGCCAGGAGAGGCCAGGUGACACGAAGACAGGCAAGGACAGGACAGGACAGAACAGGCCAGGCCAGGCCAGGCAAAACUAGGCCAGGAAAGGCCUGGCCAGAAAAAGUAAGGCCAUGCCCAGACAGGCCAGGCAAGGCAAGGCCCGGAUAGGCUAUGGCAGGCCAGGAGAGAUUAGGAAAGAUCAUGCUAGGCUAGGAUAGACCAGGCCAGGCAAGGCCUGGCCAGACAAAGUAAGGCCAUGCCCGGACAGGCCAGGCAAGGCAAGGCCAGUCCAUGCAAGGUCAGGCCAGUACACGCACGGCCAGGAGAGUCCAGGUGACACGAGGGCAGGCGAGGCCAGGCCAGGCCAGGCCAGACAAAACUAGGCCAGGCAAGGCCUGGCCAGACAAAGUAAGGCUGUGCCCAGACAGGCCAGGCAAGGCAAGGCCAAACAAGGCAAUGGCAGGCCAGGAGAGGUUAGGAAAGGCCAGGCUAAGCUAGGAUAGGCCUGGCCAGGCCAGGCAAAAAAAGGCAAGGCAAGUCCAGGACAGGCAAGGCCAAGACAGGCAACGGCAGGCCAGGCAAGGCAAGGAAAGUCCAAGCAAGGAUAGGCCAGGCUAGGACAGGCAAUGCCAGGCAAGGCAGGGCAAGGCAACGUAAGGCCAGGACAGGCAAGGCAAGGAAGCACAAGGCAAGGUCAGGCCAGGCAAGGACAGGUAAGGCCAGAAAAAACCAGGCACAGGAAAAGAAAGGCUAGGCAAGACAAGGCAAGGCCAGGUCAUGCCAGGCCACGAAAGGCCCGGCUCAGAAAGGCAAGGCCAACUAAGUCCAGGCCAGGCAAGAUCAGACAAGGCCAGGCCAGACAAGGCCAAGCCAGGCCAGACCAGACAAAACAAGGCUAGGCCAGGCCAGGGAAAGCUAGGCAAGUCCAGGCCAGGCAAGGCAAGGAUAGGCCAGGGAAGGCCAGGACAGGACAAGCUAGGCAAAGCAAGGCAAAGCACGUCAAGGACAGGCAUGACAAGGCAAGACACUGGCAAGGCCAGGCAAGGCCGAGCCAGGCCAGGCAACGCCAGGCAAGGCAAGGAUAGGCCAGGCAAGGUCAG